AUUGAACGCUGGCGGCAUGCCUUACACAUGCAAGUCGAACGGCAGCACGGGAGCAAUCCUGGUGGCGAGUGGCGAACGGGUGAGUAAAGUAUCGGAACGUGCCCAGUCGUGGGGGAUAACGUAGCGAAAGUUACGCUAAUACCGCAUACGAUCUAUGGACGAAAGCGGGGGAUCGCAAGACCUUGCGCGAUUGGCGCGGCCGAUAUCAGAUGAGGUAUUUGGUGGGGUAAAGGCUCACCAAGCCGACGAUCUGUAGCUGGUCUGAGAGGACGACCAGCCACACUGGGACUGAGACACGGCCCAGACUCCUGCGGGAGGCAGCAGUGGGGAAUUUUGGACAAUGGGCGAAAGCCUGAUCCAGCCAUGCCGCGUGCAGGAUGAAGGCCUUCGGGUUGUAAACUGCUUUUGUACGGAACGAAAAGGUUUGGCCUAAUAAGCUGAGCUCAUGACGGUACCGUAAGAAUAAGCACCGGCUAACUACGUGCCAGCCGCCGCAGUAA
rnacentral:rRNA from 1 species